GCCUGGAGGGGAGCACCCUGAGACAGCACAGGCUGCUUUAGAUUUGGCAUCGCCAAAGGAUUUUCUAUUCCUCCCCCCAGGUUAUGGAUACCCCGCAGCACCCACUUUCAGCAGUGAGCUGAGCACAAUACCCUCCAGCAUCUCCUUGAUGAACCCAGAGCUCUCUGCUUGGCAGGAAGCCUCUUGCAUCUAGCCGUGCCAUCUUUCUGAGACACUUAGGCAAAGCUAAUGGAGAAUCCUUAUGCCUCCA
ensembl:lncRNA